rnacentral:lncRNA from 1 species
AUUUGGGAGCAAGUUAGAUCUGACAACCUAGGAACCCAGAGGAGAGAACCAUGUCUUGACUGACAUGUGAACCGGAUUCAAGAAAGUCCCAGUUGCAAUCAUCAGCCUCAUUCUGUCUUCCUGAGUCAUGAAAUCCAGUGGCAAGACAAAAGUCAAAAUGACUGACAAUGAAAAGAGUCUGGGAUGCAGCAAGACACAAAUUCCAUAAAUUUAGGUGUUAGCAGUCUCCAGCUCCUAAACCCCUGCUUCAUGUCCCAAUUUGGAAGAAGCAGAGAAAAAGUCCUGGACUUGUAUACUGAGAACUUGGAUUCAGAUGGCAGCUCUGCUACUUACUAUUUAUGGGGGCUUGAGCGAAUGUCUUUCCUUCCUUGGGGCUCAGUUCCUUCUUCUGUAAGAUGAGAAAAUGAAGAUAAAUACUCACUUUGCUCUAUCUCUCAAUCCUAGGAUCAGUACAAACUCCCAUACUUACCCCAAUGGCAGUAUACUCAGUGGAGUGCUGGUAAAUGACUAAUAAGCCGCUCUUCCAGGAAACAAACAAGCAGGACAUAGUUUUAAGUCCCAUGUGCAUUAUUAGGAAUCUGUAUUAUUGACAUUUUCUCUGUCACUUGUUAAGUGUAGAAAUCACCAAAAACAAUAAAUGGAGCGAGCCCCUCCA